rnacentral:sRNA from 1 species
UCGGAACUUGGAAAAAGGAACCCAGGACACGACUUUGCUUUUCUUUUGGACCUAGUUGCAACUUUUAAAAGCAUUUCCAUUGCACAGUGAAAGAAAACCACAAACUCCUUGUUUAAUAACUCGGAUCAUGUGCUUUUAACGAGAGGAAAAGGUCAAGUCUGAAGCAACUGAUAUGGAACUGCCAGAGUAGGAGUUGAAAAUAUUCCUAAACUGCUGGAGGAUACACCUCUGAUAGCUUGAGACAAAUAUCCUCUUGAUUAUUGUUUCACCAUAUUUGUCUUUGCUCACAGAGAACCAUUUUGACCUGUGGUUUAGCCUCCCAGGUGAUUGAACAAUAGCGGUGAUCUGAGGCAGACCCUCUGUGACGGAUAACAGAAAAGAAAAUUGAGGAUCAGAAAGUACACACAAUUUGCAAAAAUCAUGGGAAAGAAUAUUGAUUGAACAUCUACUCAAGAACUGCAAAACAGAGAUUACCUGACCUAAAGAUGAAUCCAGGAUUCGGUGGUGCCUGUUCCAGGAACCUUUAGUGUGAAGGAUCCUCCAGGUGAGAGAAGCCUUUAUGUCUUCUGAAACGGUUUUGCUGUGUCCCCACCCAAAUCUUAUAUUGUAUUGAAGCUCCCAUAAUUCCCGAGUGCUGUGGGAGGGACCCAGCGGGAGAUAAUUGAAUCAUGGGGGCAGUUUUCCCCAUACUGUUCUUGUGGUAGUGAUAAGUCUCACCAGAUCUGAUGAUUUUAUAAGAGGUUUCCCCUUUUACUUGGCUCU